rnacentral:rRNA from 1 species
AAAUCUUAUGCUAGAGGUGUCAGAAAAGUUACCACAGGGAUAACUGGCUUGUGGCAGCCAAGAGUUCAAAUCGACGUUGCUUUUUGAUCCUUCGAUGUCGGCUCUUCCUAUCAUUGUGAAGCAGAAUUCACCAAGUGUUGGAUUGUUCACCCUUCAAAAGGGAACGUGAGCUGGGUUUAGACCGUCGUGAGACAGGUUAGUUUUACCCUACUAAUGAAGUAGGAUUAUUCUAAUAGUAAUUCAAUUCAGUACGAGAGGAACCAUUGAUUCAGAUAUUUGGUUUAUAAGAUUAUUUGAACAGAUAGUGUCUUGAAGCUAUCAUCUGUAGGAUUACAACUGAACGCCUCUAAGUUGGAAUCCAUGCUAGAACUAAGAAUAAUGUAUUGAUCGUAAUAUUAAUAAAAAAAGAUAGA